rnacentral:rRNA from 1 species
GACAGAGGGUGCGAACGUUGUUCGGAAUUACUGGGCGUAAAGCGCGUGUAGGCGGCUUGGCAAGUCGGGUGUGAAAGCCCUGGGCUCAACCCAGGAAGUGCACUCGAAACUGCUUCGCUUGAGUACCGGAGAGGAUGGCGGAAUUCUCGGUGUAGAGGUGAAAUUCGUAGAUAUCGAGAGGAACAUCGGUGGCGAAGGCGGCCAUCUGGACGGUAACUGACGCUGAGACGCGAAAGCGUGGGGAGCAAACAGG